GGAUACGAAUGCAUAAACAAACAUGCUUUUAUAUUUACACUGAGUCAUGUACAAAAGCUUAUGGCCAAAAGACUACAAAAGACUAGCCUUCCAAAAAGAAGCGAUCCUAACUGACCUACGCUUUCGAUCACCUCCUCUCAGCUCCAGGUCCUCCACUCGAUGACCCUGAAAAUGUUGUCCCACAACGGGGUGAGAUAUCAUCUUGGCAAGUCUAAGCUCUAAACCUCAAUUAGGAGGGAAAUACGCCUAGAGGUGUCCUAAUCACAAUCACACAUUCAAUGAGACUUACCUUGUCUCAGAUCCACCCUGUAGGUCAGUACAAUUUAUAUCACAGACAACAUGAGAGCAUGAGCAACAAUAAGCUCCAAAUAACUGAAAUGCCACACUUAAUUAAGUAUGCGCUCUUAGUUUUGAUCUCGGCAUAUAGCACGGCCUACUCUCAAUUCAGCGGUCUUCUGGCAUUACAAGGCAUCGUCUCACCGCAUUGAGCACGGCACGUCUCUUUAUCAGACGGCUUUCCCUAAUGAGCAUAGGGUCCAGAAUCUACUGCGACCGGCUUCCCGUUGUCUAGGGGGUAUCCCAAAUAAGGAUAACGUCCAGCUCAACAGCCCGGGACGAUUUCUCUUAACCAACACACGAUUACUCAAAUAUGGCCCAGGGCACCAUGCAUUGCACUCAAAUGCUUCAAUUAAAAUGGUGAGCCUGGCAUUUUUCUUCGUAUUAGAAAUUCACAUGAAAUUACUUCUGUGUGGGUACACGGUCAACUUGACCCAGAAAAAUUGAUAUUCUUCAUUUUUGAAAACCCACUAUUUCGUAUAGUACUAAAAACUAUUUUCGGUGUCAAAACCCGACACCCGGGAUUUUCUGAAUAAAUAUUGGAAAUUCACAAUUUUUGGAAUUAAAUACCAAAAAUCCAAUAAGCACUCAAUUUGCAUAAUUUAACACUCAAUUGCAGAAAUUAACCACACCAUUGCAAUCGGCACGAAAUUCCGGUCACCGGCUAUCCUGGCCUAAUUUCCGGAAAAAUAAUUAUUUAUUAAUUAAUUUCGAAAUUUAAUUAAUUAAUUCAAUUUAAUUUCUAAAAAUACUAAUCUAUGCCAAAAUUAUUAAAUUAAAUACCAAUACGGACUCGGAAAAUUCCCGAACCCUUCUAGAUAAACAGUACAAUUUAUUUAGGCAUUAGCUAAACCAUGCUAACCACCUAACAUGCUGAAUUAAAUAAUUACAUUUCUAAUUUAAUCUAACUAACCACCUAAUUCCUAAUAAAAUAAAUCUAAACACCUCUUAAACGUCAUUAGCCUACUAAGCAGAGUUUAGAGUAUAAACUCACCGGUGUAUUGCGAAAACCAGUUCACCGCAACGACGACGCGACGGCAGCCGAAACCUUAAUUUUCAGCGGUGUCGGCGAACUCUCAGACUGGGCCUAAAACUUGGCCCAACAAAUCUAAGCCCAAAUCUAAGAUUUGUUUCCAACUUGGGCUGGGCUUCACUUGAUUCGCGGGCUGAACUUCGGUGGACUUGGGCUUCAAUUGACUUGCUGAAUUGGGCUGAAGACCCAAUUAAUUGGACUGUUCUCUUGGGCUGCUGAUGGACUUCAAAUGGGCUGGCGUUGCGUGAAGAUGGGCUGCAGAAAGAUGGCAACUUGCUGGGCCGUUGAUGUGGACUGAGCUUCGGUGAUGUUGGGCCUGACUCGGUGAAAUGAAGCCAUGCGAAAGUGGGCAAGGGAAACGCGAGGCAGCUUCGGUCUUCGCUGCUGGAUCCGCGGACGUGAGAGGUGGCAGCUGAGACGUUGCUGGCGCGAGCGAGCUGGCCGUUUGCUCGAUGAAGACACACGGCAGUAGGGUCAACAAGCAGGAACUCAGCUGACUUCGGUGGGCUUUGGAGAUGGCAGCGCGGCAAGACCGAAACUGUUUCGGUGGAGAAGCUGGUCGAACGGAUUGCUGGCUUCGCUGGCGAGCUGGUGGAGAAGACACGAGGAGGGGCAGAAAACGUGGACUACUGCGGUCAGUUAUGGGAAAGAUGAGCUGAUUUGUUGACUCAUGUGCUGGCGUCGAUGGAAGCAGACAGAGAAGCAGCUUCGGCCACUUGCUGGAACGUGGAGCUUACCGAAGAAAAUGAAGAAGACGGACGUGUGGCGCGGGCGUGGGCUACAAGCGGUCAACUACUGGGCUUCGCGGGCUUAAAGGUUGACCAAGAGCUGCUGGUAGAGGGACAAGUGGCGAGGAUGAGGGGAAUUCGUUGGAUGGGCAGGCGUUUUCGGUGUGGGUGUCGUUGCAGAGAAGACCGAAAUGCAGAAGCUGAACAAUGAAAAUGAAAGUGAAGUAGCACACGGACGAGAA
rnacentral:lncRNA from 1 species